rnacentral:rRNA from 1 species
AGAGUUUGAUCCUGGCUCAGGAUGAACGCUGGCGGCGUGCCUAACACAUGCAAGUCGAACGAAGCACCUUUUGAGAUUCUUCGGAUGAUCGAUCGGUGACUGAGUGGCGGACGGGUGAGUAACGCGUGGGUAACCUGCCCUGUACAGGGGGAUAACAGCUGGAAACGGCUGCUAAUACCGCAUAAGCGCACGAGGAGACAUCUCCUUGUGUGAAAAACUCCGGUGGUACAGGAUGGGCCCGCGUCUGAUUAGCUGGUUGGCAGGGUAACGGCCUACCAAGGCAACGAUCAGUAGCCGGUCUGAGAGGAUGAACGGCCACAUUGGAACUGAGACACGGUCCAAACUCCUACGGGAGGCAGCAGUGGGGAAUAUUGCACAAUGGGGGAAACCCUGAUGCAGCAACGCCGCGUGAGUGAAGAAGUAUUUCGGUAUGUAAAGCUCUAUCAGCAGGGAAGAUAAUGACGGUACCUGACUAAGAAGCUCCGGCUAAAUACGUGCCAGCAGCCGCGGUAAUACGUAUGGAGCAAGCGUUAUCCGGAUUUACUGGGUGUAAAGGGUGCGUAGGUGGCAGUGCAAGUCAGAUGUGAAAGGCCGGGGCUCAACCCCGGAGCUGCAUUUGAAACUGCUCGGCUAGAGUACAGGAGAGGCAGGCGGAAUUCCUAGUGUAGCGGUGAAAUGCGUAGAUAUUAGGAGGAACACCAGUGGCGAAGGCGGCCUGCUGGACUGUUACUGACACUGAGGCACGAAAGCGUGGGGAGCAAACAGGAUUAGAUACCCUGGUAGUCCACGCCGUAAACGAUGAAUA